AUUGAACGCUGGCGGCAUGCUUUACACAUGCAAGUCGAACGGCAGCGCGGGCUUCGGCCUGGCGGCGAGUGGCGAACGGGUGAGUAAUGCAUCGGAACGUGCCCAGUAGUGGGGGAUAGCCCGGCGAAAGCCGGAUUAAUACCGCAUACGACCUGAUGGUGAAAGCGGGGGACCGAAAGGCCUCGCGCUAUUUGAGCGCCCGAUGUCGGAUUAGCUAGUUGGUGGGGUAAAGGCUUACCAAGGCGACGAUCCGUAGCUGGUCUGAGAGGACGACCAGCCACACUGGGACUGAGACACGGCCCAGACUCCUACGGGAGGCAGCAGUGGGGAAUUUUGGACAAUGGGGGCAACCCUGAUCCAGCCAUGCCGCGUGCGGGAAGAAGGCCUUCGGGUUGUAAACCGCUUUUGUUCGGGAAGAAAUCCUCUGGGCUAAAACCCCGGGGGGAUGACGGUACCGGAAGAAUAAGCACCGGCUAACUACGUG
rnacentral:rRNA from 1 species